UACCAGCACCCCGAGUGGUCGGGACGAUUAUUGGGCCUAAAGCAUCCGUAGCCGGUCCUGCAAGUCUUCCGUUAAAUCCAGCUGCUCAACAGAUGGGCUGCGGGGGAUACUACAGGGCUAGGAGGCGGGAGAGGCAAGCGGUACUUUAUGGUAGGGGUAAAAUCCGUUGAUCCAUAGAAGACCACCAGUGGCGAAGGCGGCUUGCCAGAACGCGCUCGACGGUGAGGGAUGAAAGCUGGGGGGAGCAAACCGG
rnacentral:rRNA from 1 species